ACCGAGGCCCGGGGAAGUGACUUGCCCCAGGUCACACGGCAGACAGGUGGUGGAGCUCAGCCCAAGCUUCCCCACCCCUCGAAAACCCUCCAGUGGUGGCCCAUCUACAGGAGCUCCUCGGAAGAGCACUGUACUGAGCGCUCGGGAGAGUCCCAUCCGACAAUCAACAGGCUCCGAACGAACACCGGGUCUGCGGCCAACCCAGUCACCUUGGAUCUGCCACCGCGCCUAGUACAGUGCUUGGCACACGCGUCUUUCACUGAUGGUCAAGAGGGAGCAGCUUUGGGAAGACUUCGUGAAGUAUUUUAAGUUUCAAAAAACUGUCAAAUUUGUUCCCAUCCUCAGAGUAAGUCCCAUGACCUUAUUUCUUUUGAGCCGCACUGAGUUUUGUAUUUUUUUUUCUCCCAUUAUGAAUGAAGAGGGAGACAGGAAAACUGU